GGAGUUAGCCGGUGCUUCUUCUGCGAGUAACGUCACAGAUGUAAGGUAUUAACUUACACCCUUUCCUCCUCGCUGAAAGUGCUUUACAACCCGAAGGCCUUCUUCACACACGCGGCAUGGCUGCAUCAGGGUUUCCCCCAUUGUGCAAUAUUCCCCACUGCUGCCUCCCGUAGGAGUCUGGGCCGUGUCUCAGUCCCAGUGUGGCUGAUCAUCCUCUCAGACCAGCUAGGGAUCGUCGCCUAGGUGAGCCUUUACCUCACCUACUAGCUAAUCCCACCUGGGCUUAUCCAUCAGCGCAAGGCCCGAAGGUCCCCUGCUUUCCCCCGUAGGGCCGUAUGCGGUAUUAGCAGUCGUUUCCAACUGUUAUCCCCCACAAAUGGGCAAAUUCCCAGGCAUUACUCACCCGUCCGCCGCUCGUCAUCUUCAAAAGCAAGCUUUUGAAAUGUUACCGCUCGACUUGCAUGUGUUAGGCCUGCCGCCAGCGUUCAAUCUGAGCCAUGAUCAAACUCUGA
rnacentral:rRNA from 1 species